rnacentral:rRNA from 1 species
UCGAACGGCAGCGAGGAGAAGCUUGCUUCUCUGUCGGCGAGUGGCGAACGGGUGAGUAUAGCAUCGGAACGUGCCAAGUAGUGGGGGAUAACCAAACGAAAGUUUGGCUAAUACCGCGUAAGCUCCAAGGAGGAAAGUAGGGGACCUAAAUAAGGCCUUACGCUAUUUGAUCGGCCGAUGUCGGAUUAGCUAGUUGGUGGGGUAAUGGCUCACCAAGGCAAUGAUCCGUAGCGGGUCUGAGAGGACGAUCCGCCACACUGGGACUGAGACACGGCCCAGACUCCUACGGGAGGCAGCAGUGGGGAAUUUUGGACAAUGGGGGAAACCCUGAUCCAGCCAUGCCGCGUGUAUGAAGAAGGCCUUAGGGUUGUAAAGUACUUUUGUUAGGGAAGAAAAGCUAGUUUUUAAUAAAAAUUAGUGAUGACGGUACCUAAAGAAUAAGCACCGGCUAACUACGUGCCAGCAGCCGCGGUAAUACGUAGGGUGCAAGCGUUAAUCGGAAUUAUUGGGCGUAAAGCGAGUGCAGACGGUUACUUAAGCCAGAUGUGAAAUCCCCAAGCUUAACUUGGGACGUGCAUUUGGAACUGGGUGACUAGAGUGUGUCAGAGGGAGGUAGAAUUCCACAUGUAGCGGUGGAAUGCGUAGAGAUGUGGAGGAAUACCGAUGGCGAAGGCAG